GGCCGAUCAAAAAAUCAUAAUAGGCCUGAUAUUGAACUCAAAGAAAAUUGAUAUAAAGUACAAAAAUAUUAAAAGCUCUUUUUUCUAGCUCACAACUUCUCUUCAAUAACUCAAGAAAAUCAGUCAAACCAAAUUCCUCCAAUAGAUCAGUAGGAACAUCCUCCACGAGCAAAAUAAUCCGCAAGCUUCCGUCAGCAGCAAUAUCUAAAGGCGUGCUUAUUAUAACCAAAAUCAAACCACUGCUACCGCUACUCCUUCGACUGGGGACGAUCUCGAUCCGAUCUAUCUAAUCACGCCGGGCGUCUCUCUUAGCGGAUACCCUUGAAGAGGUUGAUGAUUCUAUCCGAUAAACUCAGAAGCUUUCUAUGGGUUUAUAGAACACCGGAUUCUUCAGAUCGAUUGAAUUGAAUCGAAUCCAAUCAGCGACGACCGACCGCCCGUCGACCGACAAUUCUUCAGAUAACAGGAGAGGUUUCUCUACCGGAAAUCGUCAAUUCCUCUUCGCGCACGGUGAACUCGCCGAAAAUUCCGUUGAAUUCCGAAGCGGAUCGAACGGAAAACUGAAGAGAAAGCCAAAAGAGUAAAGCUUUAUGGGGGGUGCCGGAACUAGGGUUUCCA
rnacentral:misc_RNA from 1 species